CCGACGGGUGAGUAACACGUAUGCAAUCCACCUGUAACAGGGGAGUAACCCGGAGAAAUCCGGACUAAUACCCAUAAUAUGGGCGCUCCGCAUGGAGAGCCCAUUAAAGAGAGCAAUUUUGGUUACAGACGAGCAUGCGCUCCAUUAGCCAGUUGGCGGGGUAACGGCCCAUCAAAGCGACGAUGGAUAGGGGUUCUGAGAGGAAGGUCCCCCACAUUGGAACUGAGACACGGUCCAA
rnacentral:rRNA from 1 species